UUUCCGUAGGUGAACCUGCGGAAGGAUCAUUAACACUUAGUAUAUAUUAAAUUUAGGAACUUUAAAAACUCCUAAAUUUAUAUAAAACUUAUGCGAACUUGUUAAAGUCUUUUAAUAGUAUUUAAAAACUUUUGUAUUUUUUGGGAUUAUAUUAUAAAUCUUUAUAAAAAAAUACGACUUUUAGCAAUGGAUAUCUUGGCUCUUGCAUCGUGAAGAACGCAGC
rnacentral:misc_RNA from 1 species